UGUUAUGAUGCCUGGUCGUGCCCCUGCCCC
rnacentral:piRNA from 1 species